rnacentral:rRNA from 1 species
AUGUGACCUCAAAUCAGGUAGGAUUACCCGCUGAACUUAAGCAUAUCAAUAAGCGGAGGAAAAGAAACUAACAAGGAUUCCCCUAGUAACUGCGAGUGAAGCGGGAAAAGCUCAAAUUUAAAAUCUGUCAGUCUUUGGCUGUCCGAGUUGUAAUCUAGAGAAGUGUUAUCCGCGCUGGACCGUGUACAAGUCUCCUGGAAUGGAGCGUCAUAGAGGGUGAGAAUCCCGUCUUUGACACGGACUACCAGGGCUUUGUGAUAUGCUCUCAAAGAGUCGAGUUGUUUGGGAAUGCAGCUCAAAAUGGGUGGUAAAUUCCAUCUAAAGCUAAAUAUUGGCGAGAGACCGAUAGCGAAUAAGUACCGUGAGGGAAAGAUGAAAAGAACUUUGGAAAGAGAGUUAAACAGUACGUGAAAUUGCUGAAAGGGAAACGCUUGAAGUCAGUCGCGUUGUCCAGGAAUCAACCUUGCUUUUGCUUGGUGUACUUUCUGGUUAACGGGUCAGCAUCAAUUUUGACUAUUGGAAAAAGAUUAGGGGAAUGUGGCAUCUUCGGAUGUGUUAUAGCCCUUGGUUGCAUACAAUGGUUGGGAUUGAGGAACUCAGCACGCCGCAAGGCCGGGUUUUAACCACGUACGUGCUUAGGAUGCUGGCAUAAUGGCUUUAAUCGACCCGUCUUGAAACACGGACCAAGGAGUCUAACAUGCCUGCGAGUGUUUGGGUGGAAAACCCGAGCGCGUAAUGAAAGUGAAAGUUGAGAUCCCUGUCGUGGGGAGCAUCGACGCCCGGACCAGACCUUUUGUGACGGUUCCGCGGUAGAGCAUGUAUGUUGGGACCCGAAAGAUGGUGAACUAUGCCUGAAUAGGGUGAAGCCAGAGGAAACUCUGGUGGAGGCUCGUAGCGAUUCUGACGUGCAAAUCGAUCGUCAAAUUUGGGUAUAGGGGCGAAAGACUAAUCGAACCAUCUAGUAGCUGGUUCCUGCCGAA